rnacentral:rRNA from 1 species
UGGGGAAUUUUGGACAAUGGGCGAAAGCCUGAUCCAGCCAUGCCGCGUGAGUGAAGAAGGCCUUCGGGUUGUAAAGCUCUUUUAGUCGGAAAGAAAGAGUUGCAAUGAAUAAUUGUGAUUUAUGACGGUACCGACAGAAAAAGCACCGGCUAACUACGUGCCAGCAGCCGCGGUAAUACGUAGGGUGCGAGCGUUAAUCGGAAUUACUGGGCGUAAAGGGUGCGCCGGCGGUCUUGCAAGUCAGAUGUGAAAGCCCCGGGCUUAACCUGGGAAUUGCGUUUGAAACUACGAGAGUAGAGUGCAACAGAGGGGAGUGGAAUUCCAUCGGUAGCAGUGAAAUGCGUAGAGAUGUGGAAGCACACCGAUGGAGAAGGCAGCUCCCUGUGUUGACACUGACGCUCAGGCACGAAAGC